rnacentral:rRNA from 1 species
AGGACGAACGCUGGCGGCGUGCUUAACACAUGCAAGUCGAGCGAUGAAGCUUCUCGGAAGUGGAUAGCGGCGGACGGGUGAGUAACACGUGGGUAACCUGCCUCAUAGAGGGGAAUAGCCUUCCGAAACGGAAGAUUAAUACCGCAUAAGAUUGUAAUAUCGCAUGAUAUAGCAAUUAAAGGAGUAAUCCGCUAUGAGAGUGGACCCGCGUCGCAUUAGCUAGUUGGUGAGGUAACGGCUCACCAAGGCGACGAUGCGUAGCCGACCUGAGAGGGUGAUCGGCCACAUUGGGACUGAGACACGGCCCAGACUCCUACGGGAGGCAACAGUGGGGAAUAUUGCACAAUGGGGGAAACCCUGAUGCAGCCAACGCCGCGUGAGUGAUGACGGUCUUCGGAUUGUAAAGCUCUGUCUUCAGGGACGAUAAUGACGGUACCUGAGGAGGAAGCCACGGCUAACUACGUGCCAGCAGCGGC